rnacentral:rRNA from 1 species
UACGUAGGUGGCAAGCGUUGUCCGGAUUUACUGGGCGUAAAGAGCGCGCAGGCGGUCGUUCAAGUCGCGUGUGAAAGCCCCCGGCUCAACUGGGGAGGGUCACGCGAUACUGAUCGACUGGAAGGCAGGAGAGGGUAGUGGAAUUCCCGGUGUAGUGGUGAAAUGCGUAGAUAUCGGGAGGAACACCAGUGGCGAAGGCGACUACCUGGUCUGUUCUUGACGCUGAGGCGCGAAAGCUAGGGGAGCAAACGGG